AUUUGAUGUUGGGGGCAAGAAGCACAAAGUCUCUUAAAACGUUCCCAAUAUUCAUAUAAUGACUCAUUAGAAUGUUGUUUCACACCACAAAUCUCCUUCCUAAUGGAU
rfam:Beta vulgaris subsp. vulgaris Bvchr7_un.sca022.con0009.1, whole genome shotgun sequence.